CCUUUUUGGUCACCUGACUUCCCUUUGGUGUUGCAGAGAUCAUUUGCAGGUUACCCUUCUGAAGCCACCAUCACGGCUGAUCGUAGCUGUAGAAGCCUCCUUUGAGCCAUUCUGCUCAUGUUUUAUGACACGGCUUACUCGGAAGUGUGGGCCUUAGUUUUACGCCACGCUACGCUAACUGAAGUGCUGCUGCUCUGCUCUGCUUUGCUUUUACCGUCUGUUCCUGUUGCGAGG